rnacentral:rRNA from 1 species
CCCAGACUCCUACGGGAGGCAGCAGUGGGGGAUAUUGCACAAUGGGGGGAACCCUGAUGCAGCGACGCCGCGUGGGCGAUGGAGUACUUCGGUAUGUAAAGCCCUAUCAGCAGGGAAGGAAAUGACGGUACCUGACUAAGAAGCCCCGGCUAAAUACGUGCCAGCAGCCGCGGUAAUACGUAUGGGGCAAGCGUUAUCCGGAUUUACUGGGUGUAAAGGGAGCGUAGGCGGCCUGGCAAGCCUGAUGUGAAAUACCGGGGCCCAACCCCGGGGCUGCAUUGGGAACUGCCAGGCUGGAGUGCCGGAGAGGCAGGCGGAAUUCCUAGUGUAGCGGUGAAAUGCGUAGAUAUUAGGAGGAACACCAGUGGCGAAGGCGGCCUGCUGGACGGUGACUGACGCUGAGGCUCGAAAGCGUGGGGAGCAAACAGGAUUAGAUACCCCCGUAUGC